UACGUAGGGUGCAAGCGUUGUCCGGAAUUAUUGGGCGUAAAGAGCUCGUAGGCGGUCUGUCGCGUCGGCUGUGAAAUCUCGGGGCUCAACCCCGAGCCUGCAGUCGAUACGGGCAGACUAGAGUGCUGUAGGGGAGACUGGAAUUCCUGGUGUAGCGGUGAAAUGCGCAGAUAUCGGGAGGAACACCGGUGGCGAAGGCGGCAUUCUGGACCGAAACUGACGCUGAGGCGCGAAAGCCAGGGGAGCAAACGGG
rnacentral:rRNA from 1 species